rnacentral:rRNA from 2 species
CCGGUGGAUUUUUAGCCCUGGUGGGUAGCUUCCCGGAAACGAAAGUCUUCCGGUUCCGGGGGAAGUAUGGUUGCAAAGCUGAAACUUAAAGGAAUUGACGGAAGGGCACCACCAGGAGUGGAGCCUGCGGCUUAAUUUGACUCAACACGGGGAAACUCACCCGGCCCGGACACCGUAAGGAUUGACAGAUUGAUAGCUCUUUCAUGAUUCGGUGGUUGGUGGUGCAUGGCCGUUCUUAGUUCGUGGAUCGAUUUGUCUGGUUUAUUCCGAUAACGAGCGAGACUCUAGCCUACUAAAUAGUAACGAGAUUAUCAAUGUCUCAGUUGCUUCUUAGAGGGAUUUUCGGUGUUUAGCCGCACGAGAUUGAGCAAUAACAGGUCUGUGAUGCCCUUAGAUGUCCGGGGCUGCACGCGCGCUACACUGGCGAAAUCAGCGUGCUGUAUCCAUUCUCGAAAGGGAUUGGUAAACCCAUGAAAAUUUGCCGUGCUUGGGAUCGGAAAUUGCAAUUAUUUUCCGUGAACGAGGAAUUCCAAGUAAGUGCGAGUCAUCAACUCGCUCUGAUUACGUC